UAAGAAUUAGUUAAUAUAUAACAUAAAACUGUCAAAUUUAAAUAAUUAUAAUAUCUAAUAUUCUUAU
rnacentral:tRNA from 1 species